GAUGAACGCUGGCGGCGUGCCUAAUACAUGCAAGUCGAGCGAACAGACGAGGAGCUUGCUCCUCUGACGUUAGCGGCGGACGGGUGAGUAACACGUGGAUAACCUACCUAUAAGACUGGGAUAACUUCGGGAAACCGGAGCUAAUACCGGAUAAUAUAUUGAACCGCAUGGUUCAAUAGUGAAAGACGGUUUUGCUGUCACUUAUAGAUGGAUCCGCGCCGCAUUAGCUAGUUGGUAAGGUAACGGCUUACCAAGGCGACGAUGCGUAGCCGACCGGAGAGAGUGAUCGGCCACACUGGAACGGAGACACGGUCCAGACUCCUACGGGAGGCAGCAGUAGGGUAUCUUCCGCAAUGGGCGAGAGCCUGACGGAGCAACGCCGCGUGAGUGAUGGAGGUCUUCGGAUCGUAAAACUCUGUUAUUAGGGAAGAACAAAUGUGUAAGUAACUAUGCACGGCUUGACGGUACCGAAUCAGAAAGCCACGGCUAACUACGUG
rnacentral:rRNA from 1 species